UAUAUAUAUAUAUAUAUAUAUAUAUAUAUAUAUAUAUAUGUGUCCAAUAUCCUAUUUUGUUCUUUAUGUAUCUUUUGUUUCAUAUAAUUCCAGUUCAUUUUUCAUUAUUUUCAGACCGAGAACUUGUCACCCAAGCCCUGCUAAGCCUCUUCUUUUUCUUUUUCUUAGGGGGCGACGCUCUUCGAAAUUUGGCUAUAAGGCUCCUUCGUUUUGAGUCCAAUCGUCACGAAAUUUGACACAAUGAUUUUAAGUUAAAUGUCAUUUCGAAUCGACUGAAGAUGCCGAUUUUUUAUAAUUUAUUUUCUAUUUAGGAGCAACGUACAAGCAAUUCAUGAUAGUGUCUGUAUGUAUCGAAUAAUAAUAAUUAUGCAUAUCAUUAAUGUUCA